GCCACGAUGGUACAGUAGUUUGAGUGCUGAACUAAGACUCCAAGAGACUAGGGUUCAAAUCCCCGUUCAGGCA